AUGGGUCCUUUCAAGAUCAUUGGCAAAAGAGGCGAUCUCGCCUAUCAACUUGAGCUUCCAUCCAACUUUGCAAAUGUGCAUGACGUGUUUCACGUGUCACAGCUUCGCAAGUGUUUCAAGACUCCUGACCGCACCAUCAACUUCGAAGAGAUUGAUCUCCAAGAAGACCUGUCUUAUCAUGAGCAUCCCGUUGCUAUUCUUGAAGAAACUGAGCGCAAGACUCGCAACAAGUCUAUCAAAUUCUUGAAAGUGAGGUGGUCACAUCAUUCCGACCGAGAAGCCACCUGGGAACGCGAGGACCACCUCCGUUCUGAAUAUCCGGAGUUCUUUCAGUCCUAG
rnacentral:rRNA from 1 species